UAGGAGGGAGGUGAGAUGUCGCGUAUUCAGGCACGAAUGCCAUCUGGUUAUUUGUGUCCUGUAAAUACUACUGUAUUUAC